AGCAGCCGCGGUAAUUCCAGCUCCAAUAGCGUAUAUUAAAGUUGUUGCAGUUAAAAAGCUCGUAGUUGAAUUUCGGGAUCAAUAUGUCGGUCGUGCCUUCGGUACGUACUGGCAUCAUUGAUUUCUCCCUUCUGACGAACCACGAUGUCAUUAAUUUGGUGUCAUGGGGAAUCAGGACUGUUACUUUGAAAAAAUUAGAGUGUUUAAAGCAGGCUCACGCUUGAAUACAUUAGCAUGGAAUAAUGAAAUAGGACGUUUGACCCUAUUUUGUUGGUUUCUAGGAUCAACGUAAUGAUUAAUAGGGAUAGUUGGGGGCAUUAGUAUUCAAUUGUCAGAGGUGAAAUUCUUGGAUUUAUUGAAGACUAACUACUGCGAAAGCAUUUGCCAAGGAUGUUUUCAUUAAUCAAGAACGAAAGUUAGGGGAUCGAAGACGAUCAGAUACCGUCGUAGUCUUAACCAUAAACUAUGCCGACUAGGGAUCGGAUGAUGUUAAUUUUUUAAUGACUCAUUC
rnacentral:rRNA from 1 species